UCGGUGAGGUUCGCGAGCGGAGCCCAGGACGCCGUCUGUCAGUAAUCAAUAGUGAUAGCCCGCUAUGUAAUGACACACGUCCGGCAUAAUUCGACAGUGAAAUACGGAGGUGUGGCUCUAAUCCAUAUCUCUUAUUUCUGUCUGAAGUAAAUGUCCAAGCAGUAGCUGCAAGGGUAGAACUCAGAGAGGAACACCAGAUGCGAAGAGCAUUUUGGGAAAAUUAGACUGCCUGGCAGGACAAAUUCCAACAGCUAGAGGAACAGUUUUCUACUUACCGAGAAGAAAAGAACAAGUUACAGGAACUUCCACAGUUGUGUGAGCAACUGAGGGAUGAAAUGUUCUACCUUGAGCCCCAGAGGCAGAUAUCAGAAUUGUCAGACCAUCACAAAAUAGCAGAGAGGCAAAUAGUUGGCACAAGCCAUCCACGGUGGCUUCUCAUGGAGGAAGCACAGCUGGCCAACAUGGUUGCCACAGGUGCAAGCACUGUACUACAUUAUAAUUCAUCAUCAUAUUCUAAGUGUUGUAUCGGAUGACGUAUUUAUAAUAGUUGAAGGUGAUACUUGUUGAUCUUGUAUCCCUUCUUUUGCUACAAAAAUGAGGCCACACAACGCAAUGUGAUUUAUUUAGGUUUUCAUUGGGUAAUCAAGUAAAACUGUAUCUUGCAGUUUGUAGGCCUGUAAAUUGUAUCCAAUUAUGCAUAUAAUUUCCAGCCUUCGUGCAUGCUGCAGCGUACUACUUGAUAUUAUGAAUCUGAUUACAGCAUUACAAUUUUUUUAUAUGACAGGGAAGACUACACACAAUUGUGGGAGGAAGCACUAACAUUUGUGUGGAAACGGUAUGUAAAAUAAACAAGAAAAACAUUAUUUUACUCCCUGUCAAUAUCCAAAUUGAAGUUAGGACAGUUGUUGGUGUUGCAACAACUUUACUUAUCACAAGUUUCAUUUUUUAAUGCUAUGAUAAAAGCUUACUCUUGUAUAUUUAUUGAUCAGCUGUUGCUGUUCAAGCACUAGUAGCUGGAAAGGACAUGCUUAUUAUGAUACAAUGUAUAUCUAAAUAAAAGUGUUAAAAAAAUUAUGUUAAAUGUUGCAAAGAUCUAGAUUGUUGGUUGAGAUUUGUUCUAAGUGGAGGAAGUGUUAAUCAUUUUUGUAACAAAUCGCCAUCAUUAUACAAAUAUACAGUUACCUAACUUUGAGUAAUUAUUUGUGUGUUCUGCAUGGACAAAUACAAGGAUUUGUUUUUGCAUAGUUUACAUAUUGAUCAUUUCCCCUUAUAACAUUGUGGGAAACAAUUAUAUACAAUAGGCCUACAGAUAAAAAAUUAUGUUCCUUUUCUUUUUUUUGGUACAUGUAAAUACUAUUUA